AGAGAGAUGGGGUGGGAUCAGGAAAUGACCGCAGGAGAGAGAGAUGGGGUGGGAUCAGGAAAUGACCGCAGGUUGGAUUCAAACCUGCAUCCCCGGGAACACUCGGCCUGUAUAUGCUAUGAGCACUGUAGCCUGCUGCGCCACAGCGCCUCCUAGAGGUUACCUGUUACCUGGCUGGAGCUCUUCCGUCACCUAAACUUUGCUUCAUGUGUUGCCCAGGCAGGUCAAUAUUGGGUUCACUAUACUAUAGCUGCUGUUGCUAUAGGCAGGUCAAUAUUGGGUUCACUAUACUAUAGCUGCUGUUGCUAUAGGCAGGUCAAUAUUGGGUUCACUACUGCUGUGACUAUAGGCAGGUCAGUAUUGGGUUCACUGUAGCUGCUGCUGUUGCUAUAGGCAGGUCAAUAUGCUGUGACUAUAGGCAGGUCAAUAUUGGGUUCACUAUAGUGGCUAUAGGCAGGUCAAUAUUGGGUUCACUAUAGCUGCUGCUGUUGCUAUAGGCAGGUCAAUAUUGGGUUCACUAUAGUGGCUAUAGGCAGGUCAAUAUUGGGUUCACUAUAGUGGCUAUAGGCAGGUCAAUAUUGGGUUCACUAUAGCUGCUGCUGUUGCUAUAGGCAGGUCAAUAUUGGGUCCACUAUAGCUGCUGCUGUUGCUAUAGGCAGGUCAAUAUGCUGUGGCUAUAGGCAGGUCAAUAUUGGGUUCACUAUAGUGGCUAUAGGCAGGUCAAUAUUGGGUCCACUAUAGCUGCUGCUGUUGCUAUAGGCAGGUCAAUAUUGGGUUCACUAUAGUGGCUAUAGGCAGGUCAAUAUUGGGUUCACCUCAAAAAAAUGAUGCAAAAGGUUUUUUUUAUGGAUGCUGGUUGGACAUGGCUAAAUAACAUACUAAAAAUCUAGUCAAAUCUGACCUUGGGAAAGGGGUCAUUUUUGAGAUGGCCGCCAAAAUGGAGGUAAGAAUGGCUACAGUAUCUCAAUUACUAUUCAGCCUACAGAGGUGAAAUUGUGUCAAAUGAUGGUCAUAUGAAACAAGAAUAUGAUUUUAAAUGUUGACAUUGAAAAUGUUUCAAUGCCCUACGUUUUUCAGCCAUAUAUUAAAAUCAAUGCAUUUUAAUACAGAGCAAAUGCAAUGCAGGAAUAUGUACCAUGUCCAUGGCAUGGAGGAAGAUAAGACAUGUCUUAUCUCAUCUACAGGUUAUAUAUGCUUUCAGGAAAUAUAUCGUUUAAGGUGUUUAAUUUGUUUUCCUUGCACUGUAUAUGCCAAAAUGUAUCCACUUUACACUAGAUUGGCCUAUAGAGAACAGAGUAUGUAUUAUGCAGUCUGUGGGGGAAGAUGGGACACAAGUUGAUUGAUGUUAUAUUUCAUGUACAGGGUAUAUGCUCUUAGAAUAUGUAUAGUUCUGGCUGUUCUAUGACUUUAGUGAACCAUGACCCAUGCAUAGGCAUGCAUUGUAUAUUAGUGAACCACGACCCAUGCAUAGGCAUGCAUUGUAUAUUUGUGUACAUCAAAUACAUGUUGGCAUCUAUCAUUAGGGGGGAGCUAAUUAAACUUAAUCUUAAACUAUAUUUAUUAGUAUAUCAGAAAUAAUUACUACAUCCUUAUUCAUCGUCAUCCUCCGACUCCUCUGAAAAGAACUUGUGCGGAUUGUCACAUUGUUCAUGUUGACAUGUUCCACAGGCAGCAGUGCAGGCUAAUCCAUAUAUUCUACAAUGCACACAGGCUGCAGUGCAGGCUAAUCCAUAUCUUCUACAGUGCAGGCUAAUCCAUAUAUUCUACAAUGCACACAGGCUGCAGUGCAGGCUAAUCCAUAUCUUCUACAGUGCAGGCUAAUCCAUAUCUUCUACAGUGCAGGCUAAUCCAUAUAUUCUACAAUGCACACAGGCUGCAGUGCAGGCUAAUCCAUAUGUUCUACAGUACACUGCACGCAGGCAGCAGUGCAGGC